rnacentral:rRNA from 1 species
GACGAACGCUGGCGGCGUGCUUAACACAUGCAAGUCGAACGGAAAGGCCCUGCUUUUGUGGGGUGCUCGAGUGGCGAACGGGUGAGUAACACGUGAGUAACCUGCCCUUGACUUUGGGAUAACUUCAGGAAACUGGGGCUAAUACCGGAUAGGAGCUCCUGCUGCAUGGUGGGGGUUGGAAAGUUUCGGCGGUGUGGGAUGGACUCGCGGCUUAUCAGCUUGUUGGUGGGGUAGUGGCUUACCAAGGCUUUGACGGGUAGCCGGCCUGAGAGGGUGACCGGCCACAUUGGGACUGAGAUACGGCCCAGACUCCGACGGGAGGCAGCAGGGGGGAUUAUUGCACAAUGGGCGGAAGCCUGAUGCAGCAACGCCGCGUGCGGGAUGACGGCCUUCGGGUUGUAAACCGCUUUCGCCGGUGACGAAGCGUGAGUGACGGUAAUGGGUAAAGAAGCACCGGCUAACUACGUG